UACAGAGGGUGCAAGCGUUAUUCGGAAUUAUUGGGCGUAAAGGGCGCGUAGGCGGUGCGGUAAGUCACCUGUGAAAUCUCCUGGCUCAACUGGGAGCUUGCAGGCGAAACUGCCGUGCUGGAGUGUGGGAGAGGUGCGUGGAAUUCCCGGUGUAGCGGUGAAAAUGCGUAGAUAUCGGGAGGAACACCUGUGGCGAAAGCGGCGCACUGGACCACAACUGACGCUGAGGCGCGAAAGCUAGGGGAGCAAACAGG
rnacentral:rRNA from 1 species